GUGCUCACUUUGUCAGCGCAUAUACUAAAAUUGGAACAAUACAGAGAAGAUUAGCAUGGCUGGGCAAGGAUGACAUGCAAAUUCGUGGGCGUUCCAUAUUCUA